UACGAAGGAUGCAAGCGUUAUCCGGAUUUAUUGGGUUUAAAGGGAGCGUAGGCGGUCUUAUAAGUCAGUGGUGAAAUCUCGUUGCUUAACAACGACCGUGCCAUUGAUACUGUAGGACUUGAGUACAGUUGCCGUUGGCGGAAUGUGUCAUGUAGCGGUGAAAUGCAUAGAUAUGACACAGAACACCGAUUGCGAAGGCAGCUGACGAAACUGUAACUGACGCUGAGGCUCGAAAGCGUGGGGGAUCAAACAGG
rnacentral:rRNA from 1 species